rnacentral:rRNA from 1 species
GAUGAACGCUGGCGGCGUGCCUAAUACAUGCAAGUCGAGCGAACGGACGAGAAGCUUGCUUCUCUGAUGUUAGCGGCGGACGGGUGAGUAACACGUGGAUAACCUACCUAUAAGACUGGGAUAACUUCGGGAAACCGGAGCUAAUACCGGAUAAUAUUUUGAACCGCAUGGUUCAAAAGUGAAAGACGGUCUUGCUGUCACUUAUAGAUGGAUCCGCGCUGCAUUAGCUAGUUGGUAAGGUAACGGCUUACCAAGGCAACGAUGCAUAGCCGACCUGAGAGGGUGAUCGGCCACACUGGAACUGAGACACGGUCCAGACUCCUACGGGAGGCAGCAGUAGGGAAUCUUCCGCAAUGGGCGAAAGCCUGACGGAGCAACGCCGCGUGAGUGAUGAAGGUCUUCGGAUCGUAAAACUCUGUUAUUAGGGAAGAACAUAUGUGUAAGUAACUGUGCACAUCUUGACGGUACCUAAUCAGAAAGCCACGGCUAACUACGUGCCAGCAGCCGCGGUAAUACGUAUGUGGCAAGCGUUUUCCGGAAUUAUUGGGCGUAAAGCGCGCGUAGGCGGUUUUUUAAGUCUGAUGUGAAAGCCCACGGCUCAACCGUGGAGGGUCAUUGGAAACUGGAAAACUUGAGUGCAGAAGAGGAAAGUGGAAUUCCAUGUGUAGCGGUGAAAUGCGCAGAGAUAUGGAGGAACACCAGUGGCGAAGGCGACUUUCUGGUCUGUAACUGACGCUGAUGUGCGAAAGCGUGGGGAUCAAACAGGAUUAGAUACCCUGGUAGUCCACGCCGUAAACGAUGAGUGCUAAGUGUUAGGGGGUUUCCGCCCCUUAGUGCUGCAGCUAACGCAUUAAGCACUCCGCCUGGGGAGUACGACCGCAAGGUUGAAACUCAAAGGAAUUGACGGGGACCCGCACAAGCGGUGGAGCAUGUGGUUUAAUUCGAAGCAACGCGAAGAACCUUACCAAAUCUUGACAUCCUUUGACAACUCUAGAGAUAGAGCUUUCCCCUUCGGGGGACAAAGUGACAGGUGGUGCAUGGUUGUCGUCAGCUCGUGUCGUGAGAUGUUGGGUUAAGUCCCGCAACGAGCGCAACCCUUAAGCUUAGUUGCCAUCAUUAAGUUGGGCACUCUAAGUUGACUGCCGGUGACAAACCGGAGGAAGGUGGGGAUGACGUCAAAUCAUCAUGCCCCUUAUGAUUUGGGCUACACACGUGCUACAAUGGACAAUACAAAGGGCAGCGAAACCGCGAGGUCAAGCAAAUCCCAUAAAGUUGUUCUCAGUUCGGAUUGUAGUCUGCAACUCGACUACAUGAAGCUGGAAUCGCUAGUAAUCGUAGAUCAGCAUGCUACGGUGAAUACGUUCCCGGGUCU